rnacentral:rRNA from 1 species
CGUAGGGUGCGAGCGUUAAUCGGAAUUACUGGGCGUAAAGCGUGCGCAGGCGGUUAUAGAAGACAGAUGUGAAAUCCCCGGGCUCAACCUGGGAACUGCAUUUGUGACUGUAUAGCUAGAGUACGGCAGAGGGGGAUGGAAUUCCGCGUGUAGCAGUGAAAUGCGUAGAUAUGCGGAGGAACACCGAUGGCGAAGGCAAUCCCCUGGGCCUGUACUGACGCUCAUGCACGAAAGCGUGGGGAGCAAACAGGAUUAGAUACCCUGGUAGUCCACGCCCUAAACGAUGUCAACUGGUUGUUGGGUCUUCACUGACUCAGUAACGAAGCUAACGCGUGAAGUUGACCGCCUGGGGAGUACGGCCGCAAGGUUG